UCACUAUAUUUUGGAACACAGCCUGUCUUUGCUUCUCAUCUGCACUCAUUAGAUCAGUUCACUCUCUAUUACUGCAGGAACUACAGACUUUAAAAAUCCUUUCUACAGCUACAAGUCCAACUGACGCGACUUCAGCGCUCAUAUGUGGAGUUUAUUUGGGAAUCUCGAGUGAUUUGAGCAGAAGUUUGAGUUGUUUUUAAGUUUUUACAGGCGCUAAUGUUAGCCUGUUAGCUCUUAUUCUUUCCCUAUAAACCUCUGAUCAAAUCAACAUGAAGAUCACUGUGGAUUUUGAAGAAUGUCUUAAAGAUUCACCUAGAUUCAGCUUAUCAUUUCUAGUAGAUGUUUCAUGCAUUGUUUUGGCUAGCCUAUAUCAAGGCAGUGCUACACUAUUUAAUGGGCAACAGUCGAGGAAGUGGAGGGCGACGUCAGUGAGCUGGAGUCCAAACUAGACAAGCUGGUGAAGUUGUGCAUUGGAAUGAUAGAUGCUGGAAAGGCGUACAACACGGCCAACAAACAAUUUGUGAACGGAAUUCGAGAGUUAGCUCAGCAGUCUGCCAAGGAUGAUGUCAUCGAGUCCAGUCUUUCCAAGUUUGCUGAGAGUCUUCAAGAGAUGAUCAACUAUCACACAAUUUUGUUCGACCAAGCACAGCGAUCAAUCAAAUCACAACUGCAGACGUUUGUGCGAGAGGACCUUCGGAAGUUUAAAGAAGCUAAGAAACAAUUUGACAAAGUGAGUGAAGAGAAAGAGGCAGCUCUGUCCAAAAAUGCCCAGGCACCUCGCAACAAACAACAUGAAGUGGAAGAGGCCACCAACAUCCUCAAUGCAACACGCAAGUGUUUCCGACACAUCGUUCUGGACUAUGUACUGCAGAUUAAUGUGCUCCAGUCCAAGAGACGAUCAGAAAUCCUCAAAUCGAUGCUGUCCUUCAUGUACGCUCACCUGACCUUCUUCCAUCAAGGUUAUGAUCUGUUCAGUGAACUACAACCCCUCAUGAAACAACUCACCGGACAGCUGGAUCAGCUGGUGAUGGUCUCGGCGAAUGAGAGGAAGGAUAUGGAGACCAAACACUCCACUAUACAACAGAAGUUGUUAACGAGGUCUCACUUCUUUUCUGUCCGUUCACGUGAGGCUGCACUGCAGGACUUUUCGAAUGAUGACACCAAACUGGAAUAUAAUGUGGAUGCCGAGAAUGGGAUUGUCAUGGAGGGAUAUCUGUUCAAGAGAGCCAGUAAUGCCUUCAAAACAUGGAACAGGCGAUGGUUCUCAAUUCAAAACAAUCAGCUCGUGUACCAAAAAAAAUUUAAGGAUAACCCUACUGUUGUGGUGGAAGACUUGCGGUUGUGCACUGUCAAACACUGCGAGGACAUCGAACGCCGCUUCUGUUUCGAAGUUGUGUCUCCAACAAAGAGUUGUAUGAUGCAAGCGGACUCUGAAAAACUCAGACAGGCCUGGAUCAAAUCCGUCCAAAACAGUAUUGCCACAGCCUUCAGGGACAAAGCAGAGGACACUGAGAAGAUGGACAGGAAGUCAUCUACAUCUACAGGCAGUCUGGACUUGGGUGGAGAUAAGACUCUUAAAGGUGACAGUGCGCUGCAGAGGGUGAUGGCCAUUGCUGGCAAUAGCACCUGCUGUGACUGUGGACAGCCUGACCCGCGCUGGGCGAGCAUUAACCUGGGCAUCACUCUCUGCAUUCAGUGCUCGGGGAUACACAGGAGUCUUGGAGUUCAUUUCUCUAAGGUCCGAUCUUUGACACUGGACACAUGGGAGCCUGAACUGCUCAAGUUGAUGUGUGAACUGGGAAAUGGUGUCAUUAAUCAAAUCUAUGAGGCACGCCGGGAAGAACUUGGAGCCAGAAAACCACAGCUGGGAGAUCCCAGGCAUGAGAUGGAGGCGUACAUCAAAGCCAAGUAUGUUGAGCGAAGGUUUGUCCAGAGACGGUCAGAAGAUGAGAUCAAAGAGAAGGUUUUAUCAUUGAGUAAUCCAGAUAAACGUCUCAGCAGCUGCUCAGAAGCUCAGCCUAAAAGACAACCAGCAACAUCAAAACCCCCACCUGCCUCUGGUUCCUCAGCCCAAAACGAGUAUCUCUUCUGUGUAGAUGAGCUUGACUCUCUCUUCUCCUACUUUAACACCUCUGACAAACCGCGUAGUUUGAAAAGUACAGACGCUGAAAGAGAGAACAUCGCAGAUGGAAACAAAGAAAUGCUGAAUACAACUGCAGCCUCCAACACACUCAGUGACAUGGAGUCGUACGUCACGGAUCCUCAGGCUGAAUGUUGUGGUAAAGAUGUGCUGGUGUUCUGUGAGCCGAAGCAGUUCACCGCAGGCCUGCAGCUGUACUGGGCAUCAUUCUCUCGCAGUCUGCCUGACAUGGCUGAAGCUCUUGCGCAUGGAGCCGAGGUGAACUGGACCAACACGGAUGAUGACAACAGGACGCCCCUCAUUAUGGCCGUACAUGGGGGAUCUCUGGUCACCUGUGAAUUUCUUCUGCAAAAUUCAGCCAGAGUGAACCAACAAGACAAUAGAGGCAGAGGACCAUUACAUCACGCCACAAUUCUGGGCCACACGGGACAAGUGUGUUUAUUCCUUAAGCGGGGAGCUAAUCAGAAUGCAGCAGACAUUGAGAAUAAAACGCCACUGUCAAUCGCAGUCGAGGCAGCUAACGCUGAUAUUGUCACGCUGCUUCGACUGGCAAAGAUGAACGAGGAAAUGCAGGAAUCGGAGGGUCCGUACAGUCAGUCAGGUCAAUAUAACUCUAACAGCCCUACUGAGAUGCAGUACAGGAAGUGUAUGGAAGAGUUCAUUAGAUUACAGCUCAAAGACUCCUAACACAUAUACUGUACAUUACUUGGCCAAAAUCACCAAAGCCUGCAGCAUAUGCACAAUAUCUGUGAAUGUACACUGCUCGAGCUUCAGUUCACCCCCGGAUGGGUUGAUAUAGCCUAGUAUUUUAAUGUAAAGCAUCUUAUUUAUUAACAGUAGUAGGUCAAAACUGCAAUAAAUAGUCUUGUAAAAGAUUGUAAAGUUGAACACAUAUGCACCUUAUUUACAUUUGACUGAAUGCAAAUACUGGCGGUCUUUGAUGGUAGCGUAUUGAAUACUCUGAUUUAUGGGUGAAUGUAUGAUUGUUUAUGAUCAUACUGACGCAUUCCUGAUAUUUAAAUCUUCAUUCAGUGUACUUCAGGGACAUGAGACUAUCUCAGUAAGUUUUGGAUACAUUUUUAUUACUAUUACAUUUACAAUUAUAUUGCAUUUAUGAAAACUAAUAAUUAUUAUGAAUGCAUAACAUAGUGUUAACAAAACAGAUACAAAACAGAAAGCACUUUUAGCUCAAUUGUUUUAGCUUAUUUUUACUGAAAUAUUUUAUUUGUAUCUACAUAACUGAAGUACUUUCAGAAUUAUCCAUUACAAAAGUGCUUAACAUAAGAGACAUGUUUAGCAUGAGUUGUAUAAUUAUUUUAAACAUGUUGAAUGUUGAGAGACAAAAAAAUGAUAUACAGUAUAUAUUUCUUAAUAUAAUGUGUAAUUAUGUUUUUAGGUGUAAAUAUAGGAAAAAGGAAAAACUAUAAAACCACAAUCUGAAGGUUCAAUUAUAUUACUAUAUUUAUGAAUAUUAUUAUAUUUUGAUAGAUUUACAAGUGCCAAAUUAAAACUGAUUGUAGUCAAGUAUGUUUAGCCACUGAGGGGUGUUGUAGAGCAGGAUUUUUACACCUAAUGCUGUUUGGAUCUGGUGAAAGUUCAGCCUGACGCACAAGGUCCUCCUAUCUAAUUAAUUUAUUUACUGUUUAUUUUCUGAAUUUUAAUACCAUAAACUGUCCUUAAGCAUAUCAUCCUUGUGACAUCUGCCUUCUUGAAUGUGACAGACAUAUAAUAACAUAUUCUCAGGUUUAAUCUAAAUGCAAAUGAAACAAAAUCCCUUUCUUAAAGAUGAAAGGUGCAGUGUAUUAUUCUGUGUACCGAUGCAAAUUGUAUAUAGAUGGUCUGUAUGUAAAAAGCAUAAAACACUAUUGUAUGUUACUGUAGAUUUCUGAGCUGCUGUCUUUCUCUGUUAUUCUGUUGCUGUAAUGAACUUUGAGAUAUUUGAUCAUUUCUGUAAAGUUAAAUACUUUAAAGGAACAUUCCAGGUUCAAUACACAAGUUCUAUCGACUUUGUGACGUACUGUUGAUUACCACUUAGAAUAAUUUCAACUCAUCCCUCAGUUAUUUCAAAGAAAUCAUCUUGAGACUAUACUCUUAAAAUUCUAUGUAAUAGUUCUCGAGUUUCUUUGUGGACUUCCAUUGUUAGUGUCUGUCUAUUAUGUAAUAUUAAUUGUGGUAACAUGAGACUAGUGCUAUUAAAUGCAGACUGACCUUCUCUGUGUAAAGUUGUACCCAAUUUUUCAAAGAGAUAAACCGGUACCUUUCACACAAACCAGAUACGAUUUUUUUUUACAUUGGAAAAUAAACACAGCAAUUACUUCUUCUGCCUAGAAAAGUAGCCCCACUGCUAAAAGGACAAGAUAGGCAACUGUAACGGCUCAAAUAACACAUUGUUGGGAGUAACGAGAGUGUUUUUUCAAGCCGUUGGACGUAAUGGGCCUCGUACAUAAAAUGCACUGAACUAAUUUGUGUAAACCAUUCCUACUUAAGCAAACUGUCCGACUGAAUUUAUUGCAACGUUUUACAUAAGAAUAUUUUUACGAAUGAUUUGCACGGAAAGGCAUUCUGCUUGGGUAAAUUGUUCUUAAAACCAUUCUUGCGUGAAUUCACAUUGAAUUGAAUGCAUCAAUUUAUGAAAGAAUGGUUUCUGAACAGUUUUACACAGAACUUUUUUCUGCUCGUGUAAAUUGUUUGUAAAACCAUGAAUUGUCACAUUGCGAAUGCGAAAAUGUACGUAAAAAUGGUUUGUGGAAUUUAUGCCAAAAUUUGUCAUGCUCCUGUAAAUCAUUCUUAAAAGCAUCCUUGCGUGAAUUCAGAUUAAAUUCUAUGCGACAAUUUACACAUUUGUUCUGCUUGUGUAAAUCAAUGCGACAAAAAUGGUUGCGUUUGGUCACGUAAAUUGUUCAUACAACAAUGAUUACGCUAAUUUGCAUUGAAUUGAAUUGACUCUAUGAUAGGAAUGUUUUACAGUUUUACACUGAUAUUUUUGUGCUUGUUAAUUUUCCAUAAAACUAUUUACCCAAACUGUCUAAUUGAAUUGAAUGCAAAAAUGUAUGUAAAAUGGUUUACCCAUUAUUUACUUUAAUUUGUUCUACUUAUGUAAAUAAUUUGUACAACCAUUCUUCCCCAAUUUUUCAGUUUAAUUUUCAAUUCUGUCAUGACCUCUUAAAGCAGAAAAAAACAGCGAAAUUUUGCACAAUACUUAGAGAAAGUUUGUUUUUCAUAGAGAAUUAAAAAAAAAUAAUUACAUCUUUGAUGAAAAACCAAAAGUUAAUCUGGCUGAAAAAGCUUACCCACUGUUGAAAGGACAAGUUAGACAACUUUACAGCUCAAAUAACACAUUUAUGUGCUUUAAUCAAAAGUUUUCUGCUUUAAAUGUUCCAGAAUGCUUGCUCCAUAGACUUCUUUUUAAUUGCAUUACUCGAAACAUUUUUUUGCUUUAAAAAAACCCUGAAAGACGAGACAAAAUGAUUUUUUGUGGUAAUCAACAUUAUGUAUCGAACCAAGAACAUACAUUCAGAUCUUCACACUAAUUUGUUAAAUGGUCAGAGAGAUCUGAUAUAUAGUCUUCAUAUACCAGAUGUAAAUAAAUAUACUUCAUAAGACAUAGUUUGUGUCAUGUCCGUUUCAACUCAUCAUUUCCUCCUUUCUCUCCUGCGUUCUGCUAAACUCUUGAGUUUGUCGUCUGAAGUACUGCAGGAGAUGAAACAUACAAGGACAUUUUCCAAGACUUCACCCAGAUGGCAUCAAAUGACCCAGAUAAACUCAACCGCUUCUGAGCACAUGAAUAAACCUCCAACAUUAUAGCACACCACGCCAACCUCCUCAUAAAUGCAGUUUGAUAUUUACUAGCAUUUUUUAAGAAAUGUGUAUUGGAUUGGCUACAGAAUAUUGGCCAUAAUACAAAGUAUAAAAUGUACUCAUUGGUUUGUGAUAUUUCAGUGAAUUGUAAUAAUGUUUUUUUUUUAGUUGAGUAAUAAUCCUCUGUUUAGUAUUACCUGUCAGAAUUUAAUGCAUGAAAUGUUUUCAUGUAUUCAAUAUCUAUGGUAAUUUGGGUGAAAAAUAAUAUUGCACUCACACCAGUUAAAUAUUGACAUUUUAUUGUAAAUUACAGUAAAAUAUUUCAUAUAGGUUUUCAUUCCAAGCGUUUUUGAUAUUACUAUAUAUAUUGAUUCUCAGAUGAACAGCGAGAAAUGGGAGUGUUCUUUUGAGCCAUUGGAGGUCACUCAUGAAACGCUGCAAAUCGCUCCUGCUUACACAAACGGACGCAUUGAAUUUUACGUAAGAAUAUAUUUACGAAUUAUUUGCACAGAAAUGUUCUGCUUGUGCAUUCUUACGUUAAUUCAUAUUGAAUUGAAUGUGACAGUUUACACAAGAAUGGUUUUGCAAAAGAUAUACAGGAAAUGCAUUGUUCAACACCAUUCUUACGUGAAUCGAACGUUUGUAAACCGCUUUUCUGUAAAUUUUUCAGUUAACACAGAAAAUCAUUCUGCUCCUGUAAAUUGUUCGUAAAACUAUUUAGUGAAUUGUUACAUAAAUUAAAUGCAACAGUUUAUGUAAAAUUGGAUGAUUUAUAAAUGAAUUACACGAGCAGAAAAACAAACAUUUUGCAGUCUCUCAUAAAAACCAUUCUUGCAUAAAUUGUCACAUUGCAUUAAAUGCAACAAUUUAUGUAAGAAUGGUUUUGUGAAAGAUUUACACAGAAUUCAUUGUACUCAUGUAAAUCACUCAUAAAUCCGUUCUUAUAUAAAUUGUGCCAUUCAAUUCAAAGCGAAUGGUUUAUCAAACUAUUUGCAAACACAUUUUCUGCUUGUGUUUCAUGAAAGAUACCCAGAUAAGAUUUUUGUAAAUAGCAUCUCAAUAGGAAUAUACUGUAGCUAUACUGAGGAGGGUAACAUUUAUGUUUACCUGUACGUAGUAACACAAUUCCUAAAAAACGAUACAUUUACUGUAUGUUUUUGUGCUCUCUGCAUGUUUUUAUAUGCUUAAUUGCUGUUCGAUGAUGUGCCGCUGUUACCGUGCAUUUUUUAAAGACAUCUUACAAAACUUGUGUGGUAUUUUUACAUUAGCAUGUGAACCCCAUCCCAAUUCCUUUAUAUGUGCACACAGUAUACAGUGAAACAUAAUCAUACCACAAUGUAUGGGGUGUAAAUUGUGUAUAUUCUGUACAUACAUCAUCUUGGACUGGUAAGUUUAUUUCGUAGUACUUUAAAUAGUGUAAUAAUCUUUUGUGCUGUUUACAUUUUUUUUUUUUUUUUUUGCUUUUUAUUCAACAUUCUGUAUUCAAGCAAUUUGAGAUUUGUAUCCACUGCGAAUGUUUGACUGAAAAUAUCUCAAGAUAUAUUAUAAAUUGUUUUCUCAGAGAUUUUAAAUAAUUAUUUUUGACCAUAAUUAUAAUUUAAUUUAAAGGACUUUAUGUACAUAAAGUCUCUAACCCUCUUCAGUAGAACUAUUCAUAAAAUAAAAUAAAAACACCCCGUUUCGACCCUA